UACGUAGGGGGCAAGCGUUGUCCGGAUUUAUUGGGCGUAAAGAGCUCGUAGGUGGUUCGGUAAGUCGGAUGUGAAAUCUCCAGGCUCAACCUGGAGGGGUCAUUCGAUACUGCCGUGACUAGAGUUCGGUAGGGGAGUGUGGAAUUCCUGGUGGAGCGGUGAAAUGCGCAGAUAUCAGGAGGAACACCCGUAGCGAAGGCGGCACUCUGGGCCGAUACUGACACUGAGGAGCGAGAGCGUGGGGAGCGAACAGG
rnacentral:rRNA from 1 species